AAUCACAGGUAGAACUACAAGUGUGGGCUCACUAAAGCUUUAUAAAAUAUUUAUGUUUUAUUUAUAUGUUCAUUUGUUUACUUCCCCCAAUAUAUAAAUGAACUAACUACAAUAUAAGUUAUUAUCUCCCAUAAACUGCUAACAGUCUUAGCUUAUUAAUUCCAUACAUAAAUAAAACAAUCAAAGGCAGUGUAGUAUGAUGUCAAGUGCAGUGAACUCAAUCAGGAACUUAGUUUUCAGUGAAAUCUGCAUAUAAAUGGGAUCAGUAGAUAUAUAAUAGCUUACUUCUUAGGUUAAUGCUAUACAGUACACUCAAUCCAGUGUUUUCCUAAGUGCUUUUAACGUCAAGGCCAUGUAAGAGACAAAGCAGAAUUUUUUAUAAAUUACUUAGUUUACAUAGCAUGGUCCAAUCAACUUGUAAAACGUUUCACACUCAUGAAAUAUAUAAAUGCUAUCAUAUUAAACAGGCCAUAGCAUGACGCUAACCACACUUUGUUUUGGUAAAACAAUUGACUACGACAGUUUACACAUAGGUCUCCAUGUCUUAUAACACGUAACACAGUUACCAUGGUAGCCACUAAACGGAGUUGAGAGGAGUGCCUGAUUACAGGCAGUUAUUUUUAGGCACUGGCACAAGUCCUAUCAAGAUGAUGAUUAAUUGAAAAAACAUUUCUGUUAAAUUUUGUAUAUUACACACACAUGUGCGCACACACACUCUCUCACACAGAGCAGCUAUGGAUAUCAUAGAAAUUGAAAAAUACACGAGGAGAGGGUACACAGAUGCCACAGGGCAGUAAAAGCCUGAUUAAACAGAAGCCACAAGAUAGAAGGAAGAUAGAUACAAACACAGAGGGAAGCAGAGACAGAAAAGCUUAGUGUCCAGAAUGGCAGGAUUCUAUAGAGACUGUUGGGCCAUUAGAGCUGCUGUAAGUGUCCAGAGUAAGAUUCCACUAUUCUCUGACCAGAUGACUUAAGUGCUGAGAUAAGAAGUGUCCCUAAGUAAUUGAUAAACCAACCCAUAUCAUCACAGAUCACCUUAAGAUGCAGCUGUUCCUUGAAAUCCAAGAGCAUUUAACUAUUAAACCAUGAGUUAUACAACUAAUGAGGAUAAUAGAAUCAGAAAAUAAGUCCCAGAAGUUCCCUAAUGGAGGUGAAGAAACACAUGAAUAUAUCCAAUUUCCUUUUAUUUGAAAUAGAUGCAUCUCUAUGCUAAAAUUCAACAAAAGCCCAUUUUCAAUACUGAUGUUUAAAUAUGAGACUGCACUUAUAGACUCAAAUUGGAAAUGCAGGGGGCCCCAUACGGUGGAUUUGACCCUCAAUUAAACUUUAUUUGACAUAGGAACAAACAAGUACAGAAAAUAUGCUUCUAUUUGCAGAAUUGCAGUUUAAAAACAUGAAUUAUAUUCUAAAAGUUCACAAAAUCAUAAAUACAAAGGCAUGUUCCUCAAUUUUUGUUUUAUUCUGUUUUUUAAUAAAAAGCCUCAGUACACAGAUGAUGUUUCUGUGCUACUUUUGGUGCACAUGUUUUGAUUUCUGUCUGCACGCCUUUUGAGAUUCUGUCCCAUUCUAUAUUUAUAAUUCUCUUAUUCUCAUUAUUGCCAAAUUGAAUUUUAACUAUUUUUCUCAAUCUCCAGAUUAAUGUACUUUUAAAUUUUUUCUCCUCUUUCUUUUUUUAAUCUUUAUCUCUUCAAUGGCCUUUUUUUUUUUUUAACAGAGAACACACAAAGAGGGAUGCUAAAUAGAAUGUUAUAUGUCAUUCUUAAAAGUUCACAUAGUAAAAAGUAGUAGCAUUGAUAUUUUAUUGUAUUGAAGGGGAAAUUUAGAACUCACUUCCCCAUGUACAGAAUGAUCCACAUAUAUAUUCAACUUGAGGUCUUAAAGCAAAGGUAGCAGAAGACUUUAUAUAACAGUGAUUGCUUUGCUUUUGAAAUAUAAUAAGCAGCAAAGAGGAUGUAAUGAUGGUCUUUUUUACUUUUGGAACACCUUUAAUACUGUAGAAAUAAUUUUAUGUUUCCUUUGUCACCUCACAAAUAUUAUUAAUACAGGAUAUCACUGUCUUAAAAUUAGGAAAUGAGUGCUGUGAAGUCACUGAGAAAAUGAAUGAAUGAGCUAGGAAUAACAUAACACCUUGUAUUUCUUUCCUUCCUCUCUCCCUUCCUUCCUUUAUGCCUACUAAUACAAUUUUUUUCUUAAUUUCCAGGAGUAGCAGUGAUUUUGCUACAAGAAAAUUGAAUCCAGAAUGAGAGAUGAUUGCUCUAAUUUAGUUCUUUAUUAUGCUUUAUCAAAAAGUAGCACUUUUCUUUGUGUAACAGAAAUUAACUGAUUACAAUGAUAACAAUACUUUGUAUGCAUUUAUUUGAAAAAUGUCUCUUGAUUGACUUCUAUGAAGUGUUGGUUUUAGUUCUGACUCAAAAUCAUACAUGAAAGAUGCUAUUGUCUAACCCACAUUCUAGUACAAUCAUCUUUGAGGCUAAUACUAAGAAAAAAAAGAAACUAAUUUUUAUGGAAUUCCUAAUACAUGCCAGACAUUUUCUCAAAGUGAUUUACUAAUUAAUCUACUCAUUCAUACUGUGAUAAAUGUACUCUUUUUCUCACUUUUCAAUUUCGUAAGUUAGAGAUUAAGUUGUUCUCACCAGUCUGGGGGAAUCUUCCAAGUUAGUGUCCGCAGGAGUAUGGACUACAGUACUGUGUCUUCCUACAAAACAUAGAAUGUAUAAAUGAAUUUUAAUUGGUAAGUGUUCCAUGCCUACUCUGCCAACUUUCAAUUGUAGAAAGGCAGUUUAGAACUGGGACUUUGACAAUUGCAUUAUUUGGGACACAGAGGAAGCAUGGAUUGGAAUGUUUUUCAUGUUUACCAAAACCAUCUGAAGAUUUAAAAGUUAUCUCAAAAAGAAAAGGUUUGUUUUUGUUUUUAGUACAUUAAAGCAAUUUAUCAAACCUCUAUUAUUUUUUCUACUUUCUAAUUUAUAAAUGUUCUUAAAUCACUGGCUAGAUAUGAGCUAAUAUGAACAUCUUUCCUUUACAUUAUUAAGUUUAGGCCAAUCUACUUGACAAUGGCCUUUACCAUUCACUCAAGUCAGAGCUCAUGAAUUGAUAAUAUUUGUAGCAUUUGCUAGCAAACAUAAAAAAAAAAUGACUGACUGGUCAUAAACUUUAUUGUAAAUCAAAGUCAAUAUUUUUAUGUCCUUGGAUAAAUAUGUCACACAAGUUUUUGUAAGAACUUUGUAUAGUUGACUCAAAUUCUUGUAAUUUUUUUUCUUUAACCAGAUUAAUUUGUAUAAGUAAGCACUAUGCUUCCAAAGUUUUUUUUUUUAAUUUUUUGAUGCCAGUUAUUUUACACAACUAUUUAUAGAACAAUUUGGAAUAAUCAAAUCAAAACCAGAGAGGACGCUUCAGAUGUAUUUCAUUUCCCUCUGAUUCCCAAUUGAAACAUGAUGUUUUAAGGAAGCAGCCAAGAGAGGCACAUGUUCUUUUGAGUUGCUGACUUGAAAACUGAUCUUAAGAAUAGACUAAGAAUUUAGUAAACUGGUAAAGAAAGAAGGACAUGUGUGAGAGAUGAGAUUCUCAUUUUCUUGCCUUCUUAUAUGGCUGUUUUUUAGUAUCUCUUAGACGUGGACGAUCUUGAUGAAUGAUUCAUCAGUAUCAUCUGAAUCUAUAGUCAGGUGUACACAUUCAUUUAAUCUGUCAGUUUGAAAUAUUCAGAGAACGAAGUAUUUAAAAGAAGCAGUGUACCAUUGUUAAAGGUUGAUUCUUUUAACAACAUGUAAAUUGUUAUUAAGCAGCUUUUUUUCUGGUACUGUCAAAGAGACACAGGGGAGGUGAUUGUGUCUGGAAAGUCCAAGAUCAUAGUGCUCAAGGAUUCAGUGUCUGGUGAAGAGCCUCUUCGGACCUGGAGACUUCUGACAUCUCUCCAUGCCCUCUCUGUGGAAGGGUGGUUGAUGAAGCCAGUCACUGAGAUAAGGAACACUAGAAGCUAAGGGAUGAAUGGAAAGUGGCUAGUCUGAAUGCUGGAUAUUUUCCACUGCACCUCAGAUCAACAUAUUUCCUUUCUGUUCUUCCUGGGCAAGAUGCUUUCCAUGGAUUUUACAGACUGGAUUUCCCUGCCCUAUGGCUCCUGGUUGAGUAAUGCCAGCAGGAGAUCUAAGUGCAAGAAGAGUGGGAGCCAACCUGGGAGUUGUGGCCUGUCACAGCUUUGGUGACUCUGGGUGUUUAACCCACUGAGCCGCUGCAGAAACACCAUAGAUCCUGUUGUGCCACGGCAGGAACUCCUUGACUAAACUUUUAAAAUCAAAGAUAUAUGUCUUUCUUCACUUAGCCACUCUCUUCCCAAAAGAUCAAUGGAAUUCUUUACUAGACAAGGGGAAAUGAUUUUUGAAACCAACUUUCUGCUUCGUUAUUUCCCCUUCAAGUCCUUUUAUGCUUGGAAUUAAGAAAAGUAAAAGUUCUCAUUAGAAAUCUUAGUUCAAAUAAGACAUGGGCUUGAAAUUUUUGAAGAUUUUCAGGGAAGUAAAAAGUUCUCAAGGCACAAGAGCCAACUCUGUUCUUUUGAAAAUUAAGCAUAAUUACUUCACUUGGAGGAUUAUUUCACAAUUCAGUAGAUUCACUUCCAGGAAAAUUGUCUUGGUGUUAAGCCUAGUUUGGUUUUCUUUUUCUUCUUUAUACUAGACUUACUUACAGUAGCUCUCUUUUAUUUUGUGAGGCACCCUACAGGGAAUGAGAAUACUUUGCAAAUUAAACACUAUUUGAAUAAAGUCUGCAUGGAAAUAAAGGCCUUUAUACA
rnacentral:lncRNA from 1 species